GCCGCACCGUAAAAGAUCUCUCGCCCUUCGCGGAGCUCGCGUCCGAUUAGCUAGUUGGUGAGGUAAAAGCUCACCAAGGCAGCGAUCGGUAGCUGGUCUGAGAGGAUGAGCAGCCACACUGGGACUGAGACACGGCCCAGACUCCUACGGGAGGCAGCAGUGGGGAAUUUUCCGCAAUGGGCGCAAGCCUGACGGAGCAAUACCGCGUGAGGGAGGAAGGCUCUUGGGUUGUAAACCUCUUUUCUCAGGGAAGAAGUUCUGACGGUACCUGAGGAAUAAGCAUCGGCUAACUCCGUGCCAGCAGCCGCGGUAAUACGGAGGAUGCAAGCGUUAUCCGGAAUUAUUGGGCGUAAAGCGUCCGCAGGUGGCAUUUCCAGUCUGCUGUCAAAGACCAAGGCUCAACCUUGGGCAGGCAGUGGAAACUGAAAAGCUAGAGUGCGGUAGGGGUAGGGGGAAUUCCCAGUGUAGCGGUGUUAUGCGUAGAGAUUGGGAAGAACACCGGUGGCGAAAGCGCCCUACUAGGCCGCAACUGACACUCAGGACGAAAGCCUAGUAUGUCCC
rnacentral:rRNA from 1 species